rnacentral:rRNA from 1 species
AUGAUGCAAAGCGACCAUGCUAAACGCGUCGUGCACUCUCUUGCUCUCGUCCCAUUUGCCCCAUCCGCACCGCUGGCUAGCACUGCACGCCGUGUCCCAGAGCUUUGUCUGAGUGUGAAGGCCGAGGACGAAGAUCUCACUGAUAUGAUCAUGGGAUUUCUGGAGCAGCCAGGGAUCAGCGCACUCGAGCAUGGAGUUAGUGUGAACCUGGUGGUGGAACGUCUUGGUUACCAGAAUCAGAAACAAGGUGAGUUUAGUCCGGCAUGUUAUACUGUGCUAAUUUUAUCAGUCACUGCCUAG